ensembl:lncRNA
CCUGAUUUUCAGAGUUUCAAUAAAACGUAAUUAUACUUUAUAAUUCCGCUCUUUUAAUCUUCACUUCAAAAACUAUUCACAGUGAGCAAGUUUUGCCAGGCACAGGGAGGCAGAGCGGCCCUUCCCCACAUCGGGCUGCUCACAAAUUCUGUCUUGGGGUAAACCUGUCACCAAACGGCGCAACCCAAGCUGCUUUGCAUUCCGAUUAAUAGCCCGCCUCAUUUGAAUACAAAAUAGCCCCGUUUAUGUGGUUAUUAAAAAAAAAAAAAAAAAAAGUAACAAAACCAUUUGGCAGCGAAAGGAUGUUUGAGCCAGGAUGCGUCUUUUCUGUCCUUAUUUCUUUUUCUUCUUCUUUUUUAAAUCCUGAAUGGAAUAUACUUUGGUGUCAGGACGCUUUCGUAUCGAUGGCGAGGCACUCAAAGCAGUGCCUAUAAGAACCAAAUGGGGAACGCGUGCUCUGGGAGUCAGAAAGUUCUCGUUACCCCAAAACCUAAUCAGAUUUCAGGGGUUUUAGUGUGAGUAAAUCUUCACAUCUUGUCCUCUGCUAUGUUGAGAGAAACGCCAGCAGUUUCAUUAAGAACUCCUGUUCCUAAAUAAUUCCAUGGAUUUAUUUAGAAGAGCAGAGAAGAGGAGGAGGGGAGGAAUGCGGCAAUUGCACCUUCCUCUCCCAACCCAAAAUAUCCAGACUUGAAGGAGGAAUUCCCUCUCCGUAGCUUCGUUGCCUUUCAUCUGACGGAUACUCCACGCGACAGCGCGUUUUAAGGCUUUAUCCUUACAGAACUAUCCCAAAAACGCACUUGUGCUGUACAAGGAAGAUUGCAACGUUCUCAAUUCAGCAUUUCCAAGUCGGAACCAAUUGAGGGCAGCUACUUUCACAGGAGGAAGCACGGGAGAAAAAGAAAGCAAGCAAGUAGUGUACCUCCACCAGGGAGCACGGUGGAGGCACAGGGCUUGUAGGAGACCUGUCACGAAGCUUGACUCCUUCUGCUCACACAGGUUUGGCAUUUAAGCUAAUUUGUAAGCAUUUAGGGCCUGACUCUGAUCUCCCUUUCACCGCUGACUGGAGCUGUCAAAGCACUUCCCAGCAGAAGUAAGGUAGGGAUCCUGCCAGCUGGAUUUGGCCCUUUCUCCACUCUUUUGUCCUGGUGGAUUUGGGAGUAAGUAAUUCUGACAAAACAAGGAGCCCCACAUCCUAGCAUGGGUUGUGGUGCUGGCAGUGGAGCAUCUUCAGGGAUGUAGAAUCCCUCCAGAUGGGAUGCUCUCCUCAAAGUUGACAUACCUUGUCAAGGUAUGUAUAAAGAUAAGGGAGGUAUACCAUAAAGGUAUGGAUAUAGAUAAAGGAGGCUUUACACACUUCUCUUUUCCGCCUAUAGGUUUCAGCUCAAGGCUUGUGGAUACCAAUGAGUCCACUUCUAUUUCCCUAGGGGACACCAGCCCAAAUCACCACGAGCCAAAGACAGCACAGAAAUCCUAGUCAGUGAGGCCUGUUUCAAUGGCCAGUGAGGCCUACUCUAGUGAGUCUCAGGCUUGAGACUUGCAUGGCCCUGCUGAGGACCUCAUUUUCCAUGGCUGGCUAUGGUACAUCUGUUGAUGGCAACUUGAACAUGUCCACAGCAGUUAAGCAGUUCCAUUUUCAGGCUCAGACAUUGGUGUUCAAAGACUUUGUUCUUAUUCUAAUGACUGAUAGAGGACCUCUGUUUGGGUUGAUGCUGCAGUCUUUUAAGCACACUUUCCAGAAAGCUGUAGGUCUCUAUUUUGAGAGCAGAGCAGAGAUCCUACUGCUGAACCCAUCAUAUAUAUCCAAGAAGACAACACUUUGGUGGACAUCAACACAUUGGUAAGCAUCAGUGAGGAAAGCCUCAUUGAUUUAUUUUUUUUUCCUAUAGUUCUGCCAAGUUUGAAGCCAUUUGAUGAUCUACUCAUUGAAUCUUUUUCCUCUUAAGUGAUUUUUAUAGCAGAACGUAACUCAAGAGAAAGAUAUACUUCCUGGGAAGUACAUUCUUCUGGUUAUGCCACUUUCUUUAUUCAGAAUAAAUUAAAAGAUCAACACUUCCAUGGAAAUUAAUUCCUGAAGUGCUUUCUGGACAUUGAAGAGGGGGAAACAAACGUUAAUAACACAAAUGUGUGGUUCCUGUGAGAGGAGUGUGGAUGGAGCAGAGAAUGUGAUUCUGAUUCAGCCCUGGAAAGCUGCAGAAAUCAAUGCUUCAUUCAAGGCUAUUGAUCAGUACUAAAUUAAUUAGACUUCAAGGCUUAUGGCAGUUGAUAAGACAACUUGUUAAUUUAGUCAAUGAUAGUGUUUUCCCUAAAGCAGCAAAUACCCUCUUUCUCAGAAAAGACAUUUCUAGCACUUGCUACCCAACAUUUCCCCCCCCCCCCUUUUUUUAAUAAAAAAAAAAUUCACUUUACAUUUAAAUUAAGAUAAGGACUGGAUGGGGAGAUGCUUCCAUUUACCCCUAUUUGCCUUCCUUUGCGCUAACGUCGGAGUGGGUUGUUGAUAACAUCUGAUGUAAUUUAAUAGGACGGCAGCAUAACAUUUAGCUUCUUCGACCCCAGCCCAUUGACGGUGAUGUUCAUUUGGGAAAGCUGCUGGGGGAGGAGGAGGAGGGAGCAGACCCACUUUCUAACUACGCUUUUAAAAUGGCAAAGCCAGGGCUCCUGCUUCCCAGGCGAGGAGGAUGCUCGUGGCAGCUGACAAAGGCACGGGGAGUGCCGAUGCUGCAAGCCAUGAAUGAGACGAAGGUAUCCCAGAAUACCCCGGACAUCGGGCCGUACUUCCUGCUGGCUGGGAAGGACAAAAGGACAAAGCCAAAGGAGUGCCGGGGUCCCACCACCAGCUCUUGGAGGCACCAGUCUGCUACCAACAGCACUCCAACCCUCGGAGAAUGCUAAUAAGCCACUGAAGAGCUCGGCUUUCCUGCCAUAAUUCUAUAGCGCCGUCGAGGACCCCAUAGUGUUCACUAAAUAAAGACAACUAAUUGAGAAUUUUUUGCACAUUUUGCUCUGUGGACUUGCUGUUCAGGCGGUUCGUUGGGGAGAAUGUCCCCCUACUGACAACAGGGGCCGAUUGUUUUGGCAGCCGCCGGGUUAGCGCGAGUUCCCGGCUCUGGGGCUGACUUUCCAAGUAUGACAAAAAUGUUUAAUUUUGGAGUUGUUUUUUUUUUUUUUUUUUUUAAUUACGUGGCUGAGAAUUAUUUUGGCUUUGUGGAGAAUAGGCCGUCUGGUGGUCAUGUAAAAAGGAAUAUUGCUGGCAUGGAUUCUCAGUAUUAAACCUUUGGUCUUUCUCCCUCUUUAUUUCCCCUCUCUCACUCUUUUUCCCCCUCUCUCCCUCA